UGUUUUUAGAACUGAGGAAGGUGUUUGGAUAGACACUGAAACGUCUUAAUUUAUAGUCCAGUGAUUUAAAUGAGUUUCUUUUUUUCUUUUCUUUUUUUUAAUGUUUUAUUACCUGGAAGAUUUAGUUAUGAAUAAGCAGUACACAGACACACUGAUUUAGAUAUCUCCCUGUUUAACAAUAGCAAACUAGUGCUUUGUAGUCAUUAAUCCAGAGAGAGGAACAAAGAAGUUGAAAGGAAAAGUGCCAUCGAAAACAAAAGGGCAAAUGCCACUCUUUGCAUCCUGUGAUGGAACAGCAUCGGGAGCUGAACUGUUCUCCUUUUGUUGAUCUGAAGUUUUGUUGGAGUCACUUGGGGCCUUGUUGUUUGGACAUGUUGGACUGUUCAUGAAGUGGUGAAAAUUCAUCAGUGUCUUUGUGGUUUUUAGAACUAUUUAAUUAUGACCAUGUUUGUUAACUUGUGGUUUUAAAGUUAUGCAUGGUAAUAUGUUUCAAGUUAUUUAAUAUUAUUUAAUUUCUUGGUAAUAUGUUUCAUGUUAUUUUGUAAUUCAAAAUAAUACUAAAUACACGUGACAUUUCUUUCAUGCAAAUUUGAGUUAUUUAUUAAAUAAAUUUUGA